GGAUGCGAGAGUAAUCUGUCUGUGACACUUGCCACCCCAAUGACUGCGGGGCCAAACAGGCUGACCUGGCAGAUGGCUUCCUCCUCUCUCACUACUCAUGCACACCCCUCCUACAUUUGUGCACGCAGUUGAAAAGGACACCCUUCCCCAACAGAGGAGGCCUGUUUUGGGGCCAAGAGUAUGGAAUAGCUGUGCUCCCUGGUACACCUUUCAAACAAGCUCUCAAAGUCCACUUGCAGAAGAACGUAGGGUAGCCAAGCUUCCAAGACUCCGCAAAUAUCCAAAUGAGGUGCUGCAUGUAGCAAUCGGUCCUUU
rnacentral:snRNA from 1 species